CCCUUAGAUGUCCUGGGCCGCACGCGCGCUACACUGAUGCAUGCAACGAGUAUAUAACCUUGGCCUGAAAGGCCUGGGUAAUCUUUUGAACGUGCAUCGUGAUAGGGAUAGAUUAUUGCAAUUAUUAAUCUUGAACGAGGAAUUCCUAGUAAACGCGAGUCAUCAGCUCGCAUUGAUUACGUCCCUGCCCUUUGUACACACCGCCCGUCGCACCUACCGAUUGAAUGAUCCGAUGAAUAUCAUGGAUUGAGGAUGCAAGCAGGUUCGCCUGUCUUCAUCUUCGAGAAGUGAAGUAAAUCUUAUCAUUUAGAGGAAGGAGAAGUCGUAACA
rnacentral:rRNA from 1 species